GGAGAUUUGCUACUGUGAUGCGGAGUAAGUUGGACGUAUGUAACCGAGGAGGGUUACCCUCAGUGGGAGGUGCAAGCCACCGAACAGCUCAACAGAGACAACACGCAGAAGAUAUCUAUCUAAGCCCGGACAGAAGCCUUUGAACAGGGGACGCUGAUUCAACACAGGAGACCAAAGGCAAUAAGACUGAGUGAACAUGGACUGAAACCCCCAUAGCCAGCGAAGGGAACCGUCACAUUGGCUUGCACAUGCGCAAAAUGAAGGGAGUUGCACCUCUCCGCACCUGCACGCAAGUCUGUUGAAAGUGGACCAAAGGCCGCUGGAUUCGUGCUCAAUGAUUCUCAUGGUUCCGUGGUGGUGCUGAGUCCAGAUGGGAAAGCAGAAAUGCUGUGCAUGGGAGGCAGCUUUGGCAUUUCACAUACCAUGGACAGAGAAUACAUGGAGGGAGUCACGAGGGUGAGGCACUAUUUGAAAAACAAGGAAACUGGAAGACUUUGCUCAGAGGAAGGUACCCAGGAGCUGCUGCGCAAGAGCCAAACCUCGCUUCUUCAGCCCAGCACCGUGGAGGUCACCAUGCAGCUCCCCACGAGUUCCAGUGUUGAAUUCUUCCACAACAUUGAGCCUAGCGAAUACAUAGGUGAUUUAUUUAAACUCAAAUAAAAAACCAGCUUAGCUAACCUGAAGAAAUUUGAGGAAGUCUUUAACCAGGAAACAUUUGGGUGGCUUCUGAAAUCCUGCGAGAGACAACUAGCUGAAAGAGAAUGAAGGUCUUCAAGCCUUUCAUUAAGAUUGCCUCGCACUGUAGGGGAUGCAAGAAUUUUAACUCCAUGUUUGCAGUCAUCAGGUAAGAGGACCUGUCUUAUGUGAAGCUGACUCUACAGAUUUAAAUAUAUAUAUACAUACUAGUUUUGGAAUACCAUAUAAUUAUAGAAAUAUUGACU
rnacentral:lncRNA from 1 species